rnacentral:lncRNA from 10 species
GAGUUGCCGCCAACCGCCCUAACGGCCGAAACAAUGUUAAUGGCUUUCAGAGUCUGGCGGCGCGUUCCCAUUAUCAUCUUCCUGUGACCCUUCCUCAUUUUACACGGAGGAGGUGGUCUCCACAGUGAUUUUAAAUUUAAUAUUUCUCUCAUAACCUUUGUGAGAUAAAAGAAUCUUCAUCCUUUUAACUUUGACGAGGGAUGAAAUGAAGGUGAAAAGAGGAUUUAGUAAUAUGUAAAAUAAGGGUGGUUUUGCUGUAAAAAUAUGAUAGGGCCGCAAUUCAGAAAUGUUUUCAAGCAUCUGGGGCAUUGCUAUGGUUACAACUACAGGCCUACGAAGUCAGGUGCGAGAACUGCUUGGAGUCCUGGUGAGGACGGCCCCUCCUCGCCAUCCGGCCACAUCCCCUCUAAUGCCUGGAAAUGUCCAGCAUUUAUUUUGAAUAUAUCCCUACAGUUGCGAAAAAUUGUAGAUGGAAAACCACGUUUAAGAUUUUUUAUAAGUUUUUUUUUUUCAAAUCUUAAGGAUAAGAUUGCAUAAAUUUGAAAAGUGUGCCUACCGGAGAACACACCAAAAAUCAUCACUGCUCACUACGGAUAGUUGUUGCUCAGAAAUUCAUUUAGAAUUUCAUCCUCGCUUUAGCUUUUACCUGGGGUUCUUUUAAGUAUUUAUUUAGAGACGGGCGGGGCGGGGCUCGGUGUCUCAGGCCGGUAAUCCCAGAGCUUUGGGAGGCCGAGGCGGGAGGAUUGCAUGAGGCCAGGAGUUCCAGAUCAGCGUUGUUUUCCACAACAUUUGGGAAGAUUUACAAGGUAUACUCCAUUUAGGCAAAAAUAACUGUCAGGGAAUAGUCAUUGUCAAGAGCAGUUUGUAUUGCAACCCACAAAUUAUACCUCUAUGUCGGUCCAGAAAUCCUUCAAUUUACCAAGAGAUUAUGUUUGAAAAUCUUAGAAAAAAUAAACAAUCCUGAAAAACUAAGUAGGUAACUCUACCAGAGGGGCUCAGACUGAUCAGCCAGUGGCAGUGAGAGCACAUUUUUCAUAGUACCACAAGAUUAUCCAUGUUGAGCUGACAUCGGAGUUCCUAUCAUAAUAUCUAAUCACUCAAUAAUAUCUAAUUACUCAAGACUUUCAGAGUGUUUUCACAUCUGCUAUCCGGUACCAGAGUGUUAGCUCCAGGAGGCAAAGGUUUUGGUUCUUUUUGUUCACCGCUGUAUUUUUAGUGCUUAGAACUGAACUUGGUACAUACUAAGUGCUCAAUAAAUGGUACUCAAUAAAUG